CCUCCGCAGUACUUAAAUUAAAUUAUGGUCUGAAUUUUAUAAUUAGUCCCCCCCGCCAUACAUGUGCAACUGAAAUUCCCCUUACUUCCCUUCCUUCUUUUCAAACAUAAGAAUUCCAUCCUUCCUUCCCUCCCCUUCCCGUCGCUUCCUGGAAGGAAAGCUUCCUUCCCUUCCCGGAAGGAAAGCUUCUUCCCCUUCCCUUCCUUCUCGAGAAGGAAGCUUCCAUCCCUUCCUUCUCGAGAAGGAAGCUUCUUUGUGAACAAAUUGGGGCAAAGUGAGAUUUUUGUGGGGCAAAGUGAUAUUUUUGUGGGGCAAAGUGAUAUUUUUGUGGGUCAAAGUGAGAUUUUUGUGGGGCAAAGUGAGAUUCUUAUGGGGUGAAUUGAGAAUUUCAAUGUUCCGCCCUUCCUCCUUUCACGAUUCCUUCCCUUCCUUCUUACUUCAUUUCCGUCCUUCCUUCUCCUUCCUUCUCCAUCCUUCCCAUUCCUUUUUCUUCCUUCUCCUUCCCGUCCUUCUUCUUCCUUCUCCUUCCCGUCCUUCUUCUUCCUUCUCCUUCCCGUCCUUCUUCUUCCCUUCCUUCUCCUUCCUUCUCCUUCCCUUCCUUCUCGGGAAGGAAGCUUCUUUCUGCUAAAAUAGAAGGAAGCUGCACAUGUAUGCCGCCCGCCAUAAGUAAUACAUACAAGAAAGGGACUAAUUAUAAAAUGCAGACCAUAAGUUAAAAUGUAUUUCCCGAAGCAGAUGGUGCACUGAAAAUCCCUCGUAGUCGUGUGGACAUGGUUGACAUGCGCGGUUAAGGAGCACGACAUGGUGAACGCUUUGAGGCACUGGGAGCAUUUAAAUUUCUUCGCGCCGUGAACCUUCUUAAUGUGGACGUUGACGUCGCGCAAGUUGCGGAACGAGUUGGAACAAAUGGAGCAGGGAAAGUUCCUCGUGGCGAUGUGGACGGAUUUGAGGUGCGAUUGGAGGGCAAUUUUGGAACUUAAUGUUGCCUUACAGUGGGCAAGUAAACAUGAAAAGGUGGACAUUUUUAAGGGACGACUAUACUAAUAAAUAAGAAGGGAAACUUCCGACCUGUCCCUAGGGUACGCAGCUAUGCCCAAAUGUUUAUAAUCAAGCGGUGGAAUGGUGGAAGAAAAAUCGCUUUUUGUCAACAUAUGUAUGACGAUAUUUGUGGCGCUCACCGUAUAUAGUCCAAGAUUUGGCAUAUUUUUUGUAUAGUUUUAUCCAAAUCCUGCGAAUUCGUUGUACUCAACGGUAAAGAAUUCUGUUGUCUGGGAAGGUACAACUUUCUCCACUUUGGCGUGAAAAAUGUAUCAGAAACAGAAACUAUUGGUGGAACAAAUUUCUCCGUGAAUGGUAAUAAAUAUGUACGGAUAAAGGGAAAUGUGUGGAAAAACUGUUGUCACAUUUCGCACAUGUUCCGGUAAAAAGGACGAUGCCAAACUGAAAAUACCUUGCGAAUAUUAAUUAUUUUACACAAGUGAUUUUUACCACACGCAAAUAAUAUUUAAUACAGAGAUGACUUCACUAUUUUUUGAAAUUUUAAUUAAGGCUUUCCGUACUUACCAAGUAUUAAGGUGUUGAAAACAAUACUGAACAAUUAUCAAAACUGUAGCAUUUAUA